rnacentral:lncRNA from 1 species
GACCUGAUGUAAUUUUUUAUGGAGGAUGUUUGUGCUGCAUAUAUUGUUUGAAUUCGAUUAUUUCAUUACUGUACAUUUAGAUGCAUGCAUUAGAUUAUAGAAUGAACACCAUUUUAGAAGUACAUGUAAAUUAUGGAGGCCAACCUUGGAUAAUGUAUAUUUGAAUGUUUUAUCUAAAUGUGUUCUGAAAAAGCCAAUAUCAGGAACUUUGAUCUUGCUAACUUUUGUUGUUCAAUGAUUGUUAUUGCACCAAUAUUUCUUAUGCUAAACUGACAGAAACUAUAUUUCUUAUGCUAACUUACAUGAGGAUAGAUGCACCAAUAUUUGUUUUCCAACAGGAACAGAGGGGAUUCCAGAUUGGUUAAAGCACCAAAUCACGGGACACAAUUUUUUUCUGGUUUCGUAAAUAAAUCCCUUCUAUAACUAGUAUUAUUAUUCCCUUUCUGGAUCCGUCCGAUUCAAAUGAGAAAGUAGUCAAUUUGUCUGUCAAAGGCUAUGAAAAAGUAGUCUGGAUUAAAUGAUGUGAUCUGAAGCUGUCACUAGCAGAGUGCAGUAACAGUAAACUAUGGCCAACACUGCAGAGUGCAGUGUGGCAUGACUAGAAGAGAGAGGAGUCAAGGAAAAGUUAUUUCUGUUAUUCACUCGGAACCAUUAGUACUUUCAAAAUUCUACAGAUCUAAAAUAUAAGCCAGACCAUAUGCAUUAUACAGAAUAGAACUCUCAUUUUAUCGGAUGAAAUUUUUCGGUAUCCACAUAUGAUGCAUGUCCUGAGCAAACCUGCAUUCUUUUUUUUUUUUAAUGCAAAAUAAUCACUAACAUAUCCACUUGUUGAUUUGUUGCAAAUAGCUUAAAGUGGUUCUGUAAUAAAGUGAUUUAUCGUCACAUAAACAAGUGACUUAGAAGUGUUUCCUUUGAAUACUCGUGCUGCUGCAUAAUGAUUCUAAUUUUACCAAGCUUAAGUGUUUUAGACCUGAGUUGCACACACACAACAAGCACAAGCAAGUCACUUUAUUUCUGUGUAACGAGUAACUAAGCAGGUCAUGAAGUUGUUACGAGGAACACAACUUAGAUUUUAGAUCUUGAAUACUUGUAAGAGGCAUGAUUCUAUUUGCUGCACAGUUGCUGAUUUUGUAGUUUUAGAUGUGGAUUUUAUCUUGAAUUUUGGUUUAAAGUGUUUAUAGAAUUUUACAAAUACAAACUUCAUAGCCACUGUAUCAAUAAUUAGUAAUCUUUUUGGUGGGAGUGAUCUGGUAAAUUUUGAUACAACAACUUUGAUAGCCUUUGUAUCAGUAAUUAGUAACGGUGUAACAGAGAAAUUUUUUGGCUAUUCUCGAAAUGAGCGGAGACAGCAAUUUAAGGGAAACUUUGACUUUGUGAUCGCUUAAGUGAGUUAUCAUUUUUUUUCUUUGCCACCUGCUAUGUGUUUUUUGAACUUUUGCAUAUUCUUGUCCUUCCUAUGAAUUAACUUUAAUAACCUAAAGUUAUAUGGUGUUUUAGUUAACUAUGAAAAUUGAAUAUUUGCAUUGUAUGUAGUGUUUAUAAUCUAUUCUGGUUUUUAUCUGAGUCAAAUGAAUUGACAAAAGCUUUCCUCAAUUUUUUUCGCUAGAUCAGGCCUGAACUUCAAUAUCCAAUCCAUCUGGAAUUUGGUAGAGUCCUAUGUGGGAAGAAUGGCAUAAUUAUCUUUCAGAAUGUAAGCUGGUACUGAUGCUUGGAUCGAUGUCCCUCUCUACUACUGAACAUAGACCAAGGGCCUUAACUGGCAAUUAGUUACACACAUUCAUGGAAACAAGGGUUGAAGCAUUCGCUCGCAAGCAACUCAGGUAAUAGAAUUUAAUUUUUAAUUAAAUGGGUUUGCCAUGAUCAUUCAUCAAAAUUCAAUUGCAUAAAGAUAUAAGCAAAUAUAUUCAAUUGCAUAAUUCUUUUACACAUUAUAAAAGAAGACAAACUAUGCAGUGGGGUCACUAUCACCGUAGUUUUUGGUUGAAGUCAUAUGUUGUUUACUUGUUGGUUUUUCAAGUUCUGACAUGAUAUUAUUUUUCUUCCCAUUUCCAGCUGAACUACUUUACGUGCUUCAAUUUUUUUCAAUCACUGCUAAAUUUUAGUGGAUAAGAAACAAAUGAAUCUAAAAAAUUUACGAUCAACCAAAUUCUGUUUGGAGGUGAAUGUUUCUUCAUAAUCUAACUUUGUAAAUGAAUUUUAAGUGAUUUGAAAACAUGGAAUAAGGUCUUCAAUAAAUAAAUAUGUAUCAGGUGCUUUUGGUUCAGUUUUAGACUUUUAGAUGGUAGGGAUCGUGCUUUUGGUUUGAUUUACAAUUAUUGUUUCUUGUACUGCUAUUGUGUAGGUCAGUGUUUUGUACUUUUUUUUUUGUUCCUUAUCUAAGUUUCUAUGGUCGGUCUUUUCGACUAUAAUGGAAUAAUACAUGUUAUGCUACUGCAAUGUAGUUAUUGCUUCUAGCAUGGCAUUUACUAGGCUGAUUUGGUCUUUUCGAACUCAUCCAAGGACUGCAGGAUUUGGAGGACUUGAUCGGAAUUAUGACAAAGCUUUUCAAUUUGGAUUUUAUGGAAGUAUAGGUUGGUCAAAUAUCCUUCAUGCAGAAAUUCAGGAUCUCCUUGUUGGUCUCAAGUUGUGGUGGAAAGCCCGGAAGUUUAUAUGCUAUUAUGAUUCUCUUCACGUGGUGCAGUUAGGUUCAAUGAACACUCAUCACUUUCACCAUUAUGCCAAUAUGUUGGAGAUUUAUCAGAGCUUACAUGAAGAAAGAUUGGAAUUUUUCUCUCCAUCAGACUUUUCCCGAGGGCAAUGCUUGAGCAGAUAUUCUAGCGAAAUUGGGAGUUAGUUGUAUAGAUACCUUGGUUACGGUCUACAUGCUGCCGCAGUUCUUCUCCUCGGCUUUGUUAGUUAAAAUUGUUGGAAUGUCCUUUAUUAGGACUUAGUAACCAAAAAGAAAAGGUUGAUGGAAAAACUUAAAUGGAUUUGUUGAAACCACCACAACCCUUUAUGUUGAUACCUUGCAUUCUCAUGUUACUAUGCCUCCAUUCCCCGAGUAAUACAGUGACUUCAAUCAAAUCCCAUAUAUAUAUUUUAAUCUUAUGGUCUCCUUUUUAAUAUGAUUGUCAAAUAAGAGGUUAAUGCAGAAAGUGAAUAUAGUUAGUUUGUGGUUCUAAUUGUGUUUUACCUCUUUAUAUCAAAUUGGUGCAAUUUUUACUUUCUAUGCUUUGGUUAGAUGUUAAUUAAUAUAUUUAUUUUGCCUCUUCAAAACAAACAAAAUCUAGAAAAGAGAAUUGUAAUGAAACAUUUUACCUCUAAGCAUUAUGUCCAAAAAGUGUUACAAACUUGAAUCAAAAAAGAAAAUAUUUUACAAUCAAACUACAAUUCAUUAUGUAUCAAUUUUACAAACCAAGUAAUGAGAUGGAGGGAGAGGAGAGUCCCUGCAACCAUAGGCGACCACAUCAGUGUCAUCAUCCACUACUGUCGGUGCUUGAGUUCCACUGUGUCUCCAUCAUAUUUGUGAGAGUUAACUUAAAAUCAGAAUUCUGGAGAAUCGUGCCACGAUGGAGAAGCUUCGUGCCACGAUUGUUGAAGCAAAAUUCUGGAGCAAUCACUUUAAAAUUCGUGUCACGAUUGUAUCGUAUCGUGUUACGAUGGUGCGAUUGAAGAUAAAAAUAAAACGUAUUUUUAUUGAAGAUUUGUUUCAGUUUUUUAAGGGAUUACUUUCACUAUAAAUAUAGACCUUGUAUCACAGUAUUUCUUGGAGAGAGAUAGAGGGGGCUGAAACAAGGGUUUAGAAUGGCAACAACAAAACUAGAGUUUGUAUAGAGUUUGUCUCUUUGGAAACACUAGGGUUUGAGGGUUGAUUCACCUUGGGAAACACUAUUAGGAUUGAGUCUCUUGGUUACGGGAAGAGGCUGGGACUUUGGGUAGAAUUAGGCGGGAGACUUAUUCUUGUAACCCAUUGACUUCUCUUUGUAACGUUACUCGUUAUAUAGUGGAUCGGAGGGCUGCUCUCUCCCCAGACUAGGUCAAUUUGGACCGAACUGGGUCAACAAAUUAUUUUGUGUUCUCUAUUCUUUUGUUCUUCUUGCUGUUGUUUUCUACUUUUGGCAUGUGAUUAUAACUGUUCCAUACGCUUUGAUUUUGGUUGCUUGACUAUCCCUUGCUCCACACAUCAAGUUGUUAUUGGUGUGAUUUUUCUCAUCGAAUUCACAACAAUAUUGUGUCGUUCAGUCAUCGCCGAUGUAAGAGAAACCAGGUGGUCGUUUUGUCGCCGGUAGUCCGCUGCUGCUAUUUUUCCCUCUCCUGAUUUCUCCCUUCCCCUCUCAUGUCUCACAUAUAAUCUUCCUCCAUCUCUUUUUCUGUCUGAUUGUUCGCAUAACAAUGCAACAAAACAUGAGAGUUGGCAAGAGUAUAAUCCAUGCAGCCAGAAUGAGAACAAUGCUGCUAUAACAUGUUAAAGUUACCAAACAUGUCAUAAGAAUUGGAACCAAUAAAUGUCAUGCUUAAUAUCAUUGAUAGCAGUGUGUUUUACUUCAACAAAAAAAAAAAAAAUGAACUCUCACAUAGAAGGCUGUGUGAUAGCAGUGUGUCACAAGCAUUACUUGGAACAAUUAGGAUCAUAUAUGUUGGAUCUAUAAUGCUGGAAAAAAGAAGGCAACUUUCUGAGAGUGUGUGCACGUGCGCACUUGUCGUGGAAGAUCAAAUUGAUAAUUGUAAGUGUUGUGAAUUCGAUGAAAAAUCACACCAAUAACAACUUGAUGUGUGGAGCAAGGGAUAAUUAAGCAACCAAAACAAAGCGUAUGGAACAAUUAAAUACAAGCCAAAAAGUAGAAAACAACUGCGAGAAGAACAAAAGAAGAAGAAGAAGAACACAAAGAAAUUUGUUGACCCAGUUCGGUCCAAAUUGACCUAGUCUAGGGGAGAGAGCAGCCCUCCGAUCCACUAUUUGAUAAGUAACGUUACAAAGAGAAAUCAAUGGGUUACAAGAAUAAGUCUCCCGCCUAAUUCUACCUAAAGUCCCAAUCUCUUCCCGUAACCAAGAGACUCCAAUCCUAAUAGUGUUUCUCUCUAUCUCAAUCUCAAAGUUUGCUUUGAUACAAGGUCUAUAUUUAUAGUAAAAGUCCUGCUUAAAAUCUGUAACAAAUCUACUUUAAAUUUGUAACAAAUCUGUAACAAAAACUGUAACAAAUCUGCUCCCAAAAAUACGUUUUAUUUUUAUCCGCCAGCGCACCAUUGUGCCACGAUGAGACCCCAUCGUGCCACGAUUUUUCCAGUGCCUUGCCCAAAUAACUAAAACCUCCAUCGUGCCACGUUGCCUUGCCGUCGUGCCACGAUUCUACAGAAACCUGAUUUUAAGUUAACUCUCACAAUUCUCCACCUUGACUUCAAAUCAGUGAUGAUGCCGAUCAUCAACCUCCUUGCUGCUCAAACCCUUGCUUCCCACUACUCCAAGUAGCUCCACAAGUUUACACCCUCAACCUCUUCAGCCAUCGGAAUGUCUUCCUCCUUCUCGAAGAUGCUUGUAGUCCAACUACGCUAGGAAUUUCAGGUAGUUCUACAAGACUAUACCAUAACCUCUUUAAUACGAGACAUCUCCCGCUUUCCUUGAAGAUCUACUUGUACCCAAUCACCCUUGGCUUUUAGAGUAAUCCACAAGUAUACACCUCAACCCCUUCAGCCAUCGGAAUGUCUUCCGUCUUCUCGAAGGUCCUUGCAGUCCAACUACACUAGGAGUUUUAGGUAGUCCCACAAGCAUUCACCAUACCGUCUUCAACGCAGAACAUCUCCUGCUUCCUUGAAGAUCACCUUGCAUCCAAUCACUCUUGGCAUUCUUUUAGAGUAAUCCCGCAAGCUGUGCUACACAUUCUCCAACUUCAUGAAGAAAUCCCUUGCUCACCAUAGAGCAUAGCACCCAAGGUCUUCAUAGUCGUACCAUUACCGGUGUGUUCAACUCCACCUCACGCUGAGCGUACUCUACCUCAACUAGCAAAUGCGUACAUCCCACUGUCUUCAACCUUGAAACUUCACCUCAACAGGUAGAUCAUGAGUAUUCUUACCACCGCCUCUCCAGGCUGAUGUUGAGUGUUUAACGUCUCUCCAGACGACCACCGCUCCAGUAGGCAUCAAUCCCAAGGUGAGACACAUCACCUUCUUCAUCCUCCAAACAACACCACACCAUCAGAGCACCCGCAUCCUCAUAACCCUCAGAGAUAAUUUGUGCGGAGUUACCAUUAAUCUCCGGACAAUCCUUCUUGAAGUGACCCAUCUUGUGACAGUUGAAGCAUUCAAACCUUGACUUGUUUCCACUCUUUCUCCGGUUACCUCUACCUCCACCAUUCCCUCUUGUGACACUUAGGCCAUCACCGUGUUCAUGAGUCAAGUCCUUGGACUUGGUCAACUCCUUGGUUCUCAAAGCCGCUUGAACUUCUUCCAAGGUAAUAGUGCCUUCCUUGCCAUAGAGCAUGGUAUCUUUGAACGAUUCAAAAGAUUUCGGUAGAGCACACAACAAGAGUAUAGCUUUAUCCUCGUCCUCAAGUUGCACCUCAAUAUUCUCCAAGUCAUCUAGGAUUUUUUUGAACUCCGUAAGUUGCUCAAUGAUGGCCUUUGACUCUUCCAUCCUGAAUGAGUAGAGUCGUUGCUUUAGGAAUUGCUGAUGAGCCAAAGACUUUGUCAUAUACAAAGAUUCCAACUUUGCCCACAUCGAUGCCGCGGUUGCUUCCUUUGCUACUUCUAUCAAAACUUUAUCCCCGAGGCACAAGACAACGACACUCCUGGCCUUGUCCACCAUCUCGGUCUUCUCCGCUCGUGACAUGGUGACCGGUAACGAACCUUCACCCUUCAAAGCUUUCUCACACUUUUGUUGUAUUAACACCGCUUCCAUCUUUACCUUCCAUAACCCGAAAUCGUUAUCUCCGGUAAACUUCUCAAUAUCCUACUUUGAACCCAUGGUACUUGAUUAUCCUUUGACCCUUGCCCCACGGUGGGCGCCAAUUGUUGUGAAUUCGAUGAAAAAUCACACCAAUAACAACUUGAUGUGUGGAGCAAGGGAUAAUUAAGCAACCAAAACAAAGCGUAUGGAACAAUUAAAUACAAGCCAAAAAGUAGAAAACAACUGCGAGAAGAACAAAAGAAGAAGAAGAACACAAAGAAAUUUGUUGACCCAGUUCGGUCCAAAUUGACCUAGUCUAGGGGAGAGAGCAGCCCUCCGAUCCACUAUUUGAUGAGCAACGUUACAAAGAGAAAUCAAUGGGUUACAAGAAUAAGUCUCCCACCUAAUUCUACCUAAAGUCCCAAUCUCUUCCCGUAAGCAAGAGACUCCAAUCCUAAUAGUGUUUCUCUCUAUCUCAAUCUCAAAGUUUGCUUUGAUACAAGGUCUAUAUUUAUAGUAAAAGUCCUGCUUAAAAUCUGUAACAAAUCUGCUUUAAAUUUGUAACAAAUCUGUAACAAAAACGGUAACAAAUCUGCUCCCAAAAAUACGUUUUAUUUUUAUCCGCCAGCGCACCAUCGUGCCACGAUGAGACCCCAUCGUGCCACGAUUUUUCCAGUGCCUUGCCCAAAAAACUAAAACCUCCAUCAUGCCACGUUGCCUUGCCGUCGUGCCACGAUUCUGCAGAAACCUGAUUUUAAGUUAACUCUCACAGUAAGCGGAAGAAAUAUCUUCAUAAACAUUUAUCAGAUAAGAGAAAAUUGGGAAGGAACAAACACAUCAUAUUCUGUAAUGGCUACUUUUGAGCAGUUGUACGAAAUUCAAAAUAACUAUCCGACAUUCAUAAGUGAUGUUACGUUGAACUUAAGCUACUUAUGAAAUGGCAUUCUCGAGACCUAAGGGAUCGCAAUGCAUCUUUGAACUUUUUCGGAAGGAGUAAACAAUUGGAAACAUUUUAAAAUCAAGCAAAACAGAAAACCAAUAUUCUGUCACAAUCCUAGACAAUUUUAUCAUAAAAGACAAGUAGUGGCAGUGAUGCAGGCGAUAGUAUUUCAUCCAGUAAUCAUAGGAUAAAUGAGCAUUGCUGUAACACUAAGACUGAACAAAGAAAUCAAGACGAUGAUGCAGUCAAAGAUCAUACUAAAGAGCACAAAGCAUAUACAGCAAAUAGAACAAAAAAACACAGUCAAUAAAGAUUUGGUAUCAGCUGAUUAAAUGUGUUUCUAUGAAAAACAAAUUGUAUGAAAAUUGUAUUUCACGGUCAGGAUUUAGUUAAGAAUCCAAAUUCAUUCAAAAGAAAUUGAAGCUUCUAUAGGUUCAUCCUCAACUUUGAAUUUUGGAGGUUGCUGUUUAAUUUCCAUGAUAUUAUUGACUAUUGGUCAAACAUAAAAUAAAACUACAUUUUAAAUGACGGAAGUAGUAAGGAAGUUUCGUAGACAAUUUAUUUUUUGUUUAUUUAUUUAUUUAAGUUUUCUCGUUGUUUUAUUGUUUGAAUGGUAACCACAUUUAAGAUAUCAGCAAGAAGAGGUGGUAGUGCAACGAUAUCUACUCUGUGAUUGGUCCACACGCUAUAGGAUGUUGCAAGGAAGUUUCACUUACUACUUUUGUCAUUAGUUUUCUCCUUGUUUUAAAGAAUCCACCUAACAGACCACACAAAUUACUCAUUCAUAUUCUCCAUUUUCAAAGUCUUUUUUCAUCCAUAUUCUUUCAAUUCUCAUGGCUAUGCAAUCACCUUCCCGAGUGUUCCUCAGUUUCAGGGGCAGUGACACUCGCAACAAUUUUACCGGUAAUCUCUAUAAGGCUCUCAUUGACAAGGGAAUUUGUACUUUCAUUGAUGAUAAUGAUCUUGAAAGAGGAGAUGAAAUCACACCCAAACUUGUCAAGGCCAUGGAAGAAUCUAGGAUUUUUAUUCCCAUAUUUUCUGCCAACUAUGCAUCUUCUUCAUUUUGUUUGGACGAACUUGUCCACAUCAUUCACUGCUACAAGACAAAGAGUUGCUUAGUAUUGCCCGUUUUUUAUGAUGUGGAACCUACUCACAUACGACAUCAUAGUGGAAGUUAUGGUGAGCAUCUUACUAAGCAUGAAGGGAGAGGAGAGUCCCUGCAACCAUAGGCGACCACAUCAGUGUCAUCAUCCACUACUGUCGCGUGCUUGAGUUCCACCGUCUCUCCAUCAUAUUGUGUCGUUCAGUCAUCGCCGAUGCAAGAGAAACCAGGUGGUCGUUUUGUCGCCGGUAGUCCGCUGCUGCUAUUUUUCCCUCUCCUGAUUUCUCCCUUCCCCUCUCAUGUCUCACAUAUAAUCUUCCUCCAUCUCUUUUUCUGUCUGAUUGUUCGCAUAACAAUGCAACAAAACAUGAGAGUUGGCAAGAGUAUAAUCCAUGCAGCCAGAAUGAGAACAAUGCUGCUAUAACAUGUUAAAGUUACCAAACAUGUCAUAAGAAUUGGAACCAAUAAAUGUCAUGCUUAAUAUCAUUGAUAGCAGUGUGUUUUACUUCAACAAAAAAAAUAUGAACUCUCACAUAGAAGGCUGUGUGAUAUUGUAAAGUCCACUUGUAUGUAACUUGUCAUUGCUCAAUGAACAGAGCUUUGAGCGAUAAUUAUGUAGUACACAUUGUCACAAGCAUUACUUGGAACAAUUGGGAUCAUAUAUGUUGGAUCUAUAAUACUGGAAAAAAGAAGGCAACUUUCUGAGAGUGUGUGUGCACGUGCGCACUUGUCGUGGAAGAUCAAAUUGAUAAUUGUAAGCCGCAGAAAUAUCUUCAUAAACAUUUAUCAGAUAAGAGAAAAUUGGGAAGGAACAAACACAUCAUAUUCUGUAAUGGCUACUUUUGAGCACUUGUACGAAAUUCAAAAUAACUAUCCGACAUUCAUAAGUGAUGUUACGUUGAACUUAAGCUACUUAUGAAUUGGCAUUCUCGAUACCUAAGGGAUGGCAAUGCAUCUUUGAACUUUUUCGGAAGGAGAAAACAAUUAGAAACAUUUUAAAAUCAAGCAAAACAGAAAACCAAUAUUCUGUCACAAUCCUAGACAAUUUUAUCAUAAAAGACAAGUAGUGGCAGUGAUGCAGGCGAUAGUAUUUCAUCCAAUAAUCAUAGGAUAAAUGAGCGUUGCUGUAACACUAAAGAGCACAAAGCAUAUACAGCAAAUAGAACAAAAAAACACAGUCAAUAAAGAUUUGGUAUCAGCUGAUUAAAUGUGUCGCUAUGAAAAACAAAUUGUAUGAACAUUGUAUUUCACGGUAAGGAUUUAGGUAAGAAUCCAAAUUCAUUCAAAAUAAAUUGCAGCUUCUAUAGGUUCAUCCUCAACUUUGCGACCUUAAAAUGAAAUUUGUGUGAGAUAUAUGCACGCAAAAGAAAUUCGAAGAGAAUGUUCUUAAAUCACCAUAACUUAUAACUUGACAAAUAAAAAAAAGAGAUGUGACAUAAUGUUAUGUGUUUUGCUAAGGCAGUUUUUGUUUGUGAUUUUAUUAGAAUGUUUUAGUAUCUAGGGUGUCGUGCAGGAAGCGUGGUGGGGUCAAAUUCACAUCUAACUUACUGCUGAUCAGCAACGUCGUAAAGGCGAUCAUACAUUUUAUUGAUAUCCCAACAACCACAAUCAUAUACUUCUUUGUGAAAAAUAAGAAAAAUUUGCCUUGCUUCGAUAUUUGUACCGUAGUUUGUUUUAUCUCUUAUCUCAAUAUUUGUGUGUAAGCUGCAAUUUUCCAUAGCUUUCUUAGCUCUGUUAUUUGAUGAAAUUUUUUAUAGGGUCUAAAACUUGAAAUUUAAAACUUUUAUAGGGAUAUAAAACAUAUUUAACAUUUUUUUUAAACAUAAGGCUUUGAUAAUAUUUGCAUAUUUACUACUUGAGUUUUCAUGAUGCUGCUGGUUGAAUAGAAGACUGCAGCUGGUUGAUGCGACUGGGGCAUUGUGUUUUGAUACCAGACCUUCAUUUGACUUGGAAUUCCAAUGACAUAUUUGAUGUCACAUUUCUCUUUGCAUCCACACUACCGUCCCUAGCUAUUUGAAAACUUGGAUAAUGAUAUAUGUCGCGAAAAAAUUACUCGUGAUGGCAUCACGACUCCUAACAGCUGAAGUUCAUUUGCGAUGGUUUCGGGAACGUUUGCUUCGCAAUGAAUAGCACUGCUUUGAACUUUUAGGCAGCAUAUGACUUCGGUAAUGGUAUCAUUUUCCCUAAAUCUCAAAGAAGCUAGAAAUGAGGAUUUAAAAUAGUCCCACGUCGACCAGAAAAGUAAUAAGGUAUUGUUUAUAAACUUUGAUGUGUACCAUAUAUGUUACUUUGUUGAGGAAUGUGGAGAGUCUAAACGUGAUGUUACUCCAAGUUCUUCUUCUUCCAUUGUUUUUAAUGAAAGAAUUGAAUAUGUUACCGUUCCGUUCCUAUUUGAACUUUUAAAAUAGUCCCACGUCGACCCAAAAAGUAGUAAGAUGGUAUUUAUAAACUUUAAUGUGUACCAUACAUGUUACAUUGUUGAAGAAUUGAGAGUAACGUGGAUUUGGAUGUUAUCCUUAGUACUUCUGUAAUGGUUUUUAAUGAAUGAGUUGAACAUAUUUUUUAAAGUAUAACUUGGUUCCUUUUAUUUAAUUUCCAUAGUUUAUGAUGCAAGAUCGUUUUGUUAAUCUUUUUUUUUUGAACUAGAAGAUCGUUUUGUUUGUAAUCAUAUAAAAUAUUCUUCAACUUUUUAAAUUAUUGAAUUUUUUUUUUUUUUUAUGGAAGGUUAUUGAAUAAUUUUUGUGUACCACUAAUAUGUCUUCUCUCACCCAAUGCCCACUAUUUUUUCCAGCAAAACCUUCAUUGUGAGCAGGAAAAAAAAAAGCUUUCAUUCCUCCACAAGCUUAAUUAUAAUUAUUAUCUUGAAUCUUAAAAAAGAAACUCCAAAGUUCAUAUAAUUUGAAUUGGAACUAAAAUUUUCCUCAUGAAAAAUUGAUAAAGAGAUUUCAAUUCUGAUUCUCUAUUAGUAGCAAAGUUGUCAAAAUCAGGACUUUACUUCAGGUCGAAAGGAAAUAGCAAAAUUGGGACUCGUAAAAUCCCAAUCAAAAUCGAAUGAUUUUACUCAAUGACUUUUGUAGAAUCGAUAUUGGAAAUUGUAAAAUCGCAAUCAAAAUCGAUGGAUUUUACCAAAAAAUAAUAAUACUAACUAUAUGUUAUAAAUGGUAUAUAGUCAUAAAUAACUUAGUUUAUAAGAAAUCGUAAAAUGACAAUCAAAAUUGAUGGAUUUUGCUUAUUUUGGGAUUCUAUUAUGAAUUUGAGUCAUUGAAGGUGAAGAAAGUCGCAAAAUCCUAGAUUUUAAGAUUUAAGUCGGGAUUUUGACAACAAUACUUAGUAGUAUAUCUAACUUUCUAUUUUCCUAAUGAAUCCAUUUUCGGGUCAAUCCAAACCCAAUUUCAAUGAUGUGGAGUAAUGUAAAAUAUGGGGGCGUCGAUUGCAUGUUCCAAAUCAUCACUGUUCGCAGCGACACCACAACUCAUUGUCAAUAGAAGCUCGUCCUCUUCUCAUCCCCAUUGCAGCAGCGUUGCUGCAGACGUUCAUAUUUUGAAAGGUUUACUCAAACACACUAAACAUGGUAGAGGGUCUUUAUAUCUGUCAUGAGAAGUAAAACACAUCAAAGAUAAAAAAUAAAAAAUAAAAAUAAAAAAAGACAAGAAAUCCAGAAUUAAGAUAAAAGGAAAUCUUGAAAGACAACCACGAAUCUCGAAAAAUGGAAAGAAUUUUUUUAAGAACCACCGACAAUUUUCUUUAUUUUGCGUUUGGAAGAAGAAGAAGAUGAUGGGAAUGGUAAAAAGAACCCUAAUAUAAAGAGUAAGGAUUGGAUGGAGAAGACAUAAAUGUUACUUUUUUUUUUAUUUCCAACAAAUCUCGUCCUUUAAUUUACUUGUUAGUCCAAUGGUGUGAUAUAUUAGGGGUACACCAGUGACUUGCUUAAUUUCAACCUAUUUUUUAGCUGUACUUGUAGUUUAAUUGGUGAUAUAUUCAUCUGUCAAAGGAAGUAUGCAAAAGAGAUGUUAAAGAAAUUCAAUAUGGAUUACUGUAAAAGCAUGAGCACUCCUACGUGUCCAAAGGAGAAGCUAUGCAAGGAUGUUGAAGAAGAACAAGUGGGUGAAACACUUUACGGAAGUUUAAUUGGCUGCUUAAUGUAUCUUACAACUACAAGACCAGAUAUUUUAUAUGCUGUAAAUGUUCUUUCAAGAUUCAUGAAUUGUGCUAAAGAAUCUCAUUUCAAAGGAGCAAAAAGAGUGUUGAGGUAUGUCAAGGGAACCUUAAAUUAUGGCAUUAAGUUCUGUCGAUCGGAAAAAUUCAAGUUGCAAGGUUACUCUGAUAGUGAUUGGGCAGGAUCUUUAGAUGACAUGAAAAGCACUUCAGGCUACUGUUUUAGUUCUGGGAUAGGGAUAUUCUCUUGGAGUUCAAAAAAACAAGAAAUUGUUGCACAAUCAACAGCUGAAGCAGAGUUUAUUGCAGCCACAGCAGCUGUUAAUCAGGCCUUGUGGCUAAGAAAAGUUCUAACUGAUUUGCACUUAGAGCAAAAGGAAACUACUGAGGUAAUGGUGAACAACCAGGCAGCCAUUGCCAUCUCCAAAAAUCCUGUUUUUCAUGGUAAAACAAAGCAUUUUAGUAUUAAAUUAUUUUUCCUCAGAGAUGUUCAAAAGGAUGGUGAUGUGUGUUUGAAGUACUGCAAGACUGAAGACCAUUUGUCAGAUAUCUUUACAAAAGCUCUUCCAAAAGGCAGGUUUGAGUUAAGGGAGAAACUUGGAAUAUCCAACUACUGAUACAAGGAGGAGUGUUGAACGUGUGUAUCAGCAGUUGUUACUGCCAGCUGCACUGAUUGACCAAGUCUUUAGGAGAAUUUGUUUUAAUAUUUCAGUUUUUAAUUAGCUAAUAAAGUAGUGGCUAAAGAUUAGGAGUUAGUUACUCAUUAUUUGUUUUUAUUUAAGUCACAGCUUUGUAUUUUGACAGUAGUUUUUCAUUCAAUAAAGCUUAGUUUUUCCUUCCUAUUUUAUGAGUUACGUAUAAACACCAAACAGUAUUUCAUCCAGUAAUCAUAGGAUAAAUGAGCAUUGCUGUAACACUCAGACUGAACAAAGAAAUCAAGAAGAUGAUGCAGUCAAAGAUCAUACUAAAGAGCACAAAGCAUAUACAGCAAAUAGAACAAAAAAACACAGUCAAUAAAGAUUUGGUAUCAGCUGAUUAAAUGUGUUUCUAUGAAAAACAAAUUGUAUGAAAAUUUCACGGUAAGGAUUUAGUUAAGAAUCCAAAUUCAUUCAAAAGAAGAGGUUGCUGUUUAAUUUCCAUGAUAUUAUUGACAAUUGGUCAAACAUAAAAUGUACAUUUUAAAUGACGGAAGUAGUAAGGAUGUUUCGUAGACAAUUUAUUUUUUGUUUAUUUAUUUAUUUAAGUUUUCUCGUUGUUUUAAAGAAGAGGUGGUAGUGCAACGAUAUCUACUCUGUGAUUGGUCCACACGGCUAUAGGAUGUUGCAAGGAAGUUUCACUUACUACUUUUGUCAUUAGUUUUCUCCUUGUUUUAAAGAAUCCACCUAACAGACCACACAAAUUACUCAUUCAUAUUCUCCAUUUUCAAAGUCUUUUUUCAUCCAUAUUCUUUCAAUUCUCAUGGCUAUGCAAUCACCUUCCAGAGUGUUCCUCAAUUUCAGGGGCAGUGACACUCGCAACAAUUUUACCGGUAAUCUCUAUAAGGCUCUUGUUGACAAGGGAAUUAAUACUUUCAUUGAUGAAAAUGAUCUUCAAAGAGGAGAUGAAAUCACAUCAUCACUUGUCAAGGCCAUCGAAGAAUCUGGGAUUUUUAUUCCCAUAUUUUCUGCCAACUAUGCAUCUUCUUCAUUUUGUUUGGACGAACUUGUCCACAUCAUUCACUGCUACAACACAAAGAGUUGCUUAGUAUUGCCCGUUUUCUAUGAUGUGGAACCUACUCACAUACGACAUCAGAGUGGGAGUUAUGGUGAGCAUCUUACUAAGCAUAAAGAGGGGUUCCAAAAUAACGAGAAAAACAUGGAGCGAUUGCGUCAAUGGAAGAUGGCUCUUACUCAAGCUGCUAACUUGUCCGGCUAUCAUUAUAGUCCUCAUGAGUACCCUACUUUACUUAAAUCUUGUUUUUUAUAUUUUAUUUCUUUAAUUUUUAUGCCUAAAUAAUCUACUCUUAAAGCUUAAACAUGGAGGGAUUUCUAUCAAUGGUUUUAAAACUAGUGUAAGUUAUUUAUAUGUCAAAAAAGUUAGAAUUGCAUAAUAUAUUAUCAAUACAUGGAUGUGAUUUUGAUUCUAGUGUAUGUUCUAACUUACCUUAUUGGACAUGAAUAGAUCUGAAUGCAAGUUUAUUGAGAAGAUAGUCGAAGGCAUCUCCAACAAGAUCAAUCAUGUUUUUUUAAACGUAGCCAAAUACCCUGUUGGAUUGCAGUCCCGAAUAGAACAAGUGAAAUUGCUUCUUGACAUGGGCUCUGAGAAUGAGGUCCGCAUGGUAGGAAUUUUUGGUACCGGAGGCAUGGGUAAAUCAACACUUGCAAAAGCAGUUUUUAAUUCUAUUGCUGAUCAAUUUGAAGGUGUAUGUUUUCUUCAUAAUGUCAGAGAGAAUUCAACUCUUAAGAACUUGAAACAUCUCCAGAAGAAGCUCCUUUCAAAAAUAGUUAAAUUUGACGGUCAGAUAGAAGAUGUUAGUGAGGGAAUACCAAUUAUAAAGGAAAGACUAUCUAGAAAGAAGAUUCUUUUGAUUCUUGACGAUGUUGACAAACUGGAGCAGCUAGACGCUUUGGCUGGAGGACUUGAUUGGUUCGGUCUUGGAAGCAGAGUCAUCAUUACCACUCGUGAUAAACGCUUACUAGCCUAUCAUGUGAAUACAAGUACACAUGCAGUAGAAGGGUUGAAUGAGACAGAAGCUCUUGAAUUAUUGAGCCGAAAUGCUUUUAAAAAUGACAAAGUUCCUUCAAGUUAUGAAGAUAUUUUAAACCGUGUAGUUACUUAUGCAUCUGGCCUUCCGUUAGCUAUAGUAACAAUAGGGGCCAAUUUGAUUGGAAGGAAGGUAGAAGAUUGGGAGCGUAUAUUAGACGAGUAUGAAAAUAUUCCCGAUAAAGAUAUCCAAAGGAUACUUCAAGUAAGCUAUGAUGCUUUGAAGGAAAAGGAUCAGAGUGUCUUUCUAGACAUUGCUUGUUGCUUCAAAGGGUGUAAAUGGACAAAGGUUAAAAAAAUACUUCAUGCUCAUUAUGGCCAUCCCAUAGAACAUCAUGUUGGAGUGUUGGCUGAAAAAUCUCUCAUAGGCCAUUGGGAAUAUGACACUCAUGUGACCUUACAUGACUUGAUAGAGGACAUGGGUAAAGAAGUCGUCCGACAAGAAUCUCCCAAGAAGCCUGGAGAACGCAGUAGGUUGUGGUUUCGCGAUGAUAUAGUUAACGUUUUAAGAGAUAAUACGGUAAAGAAAACUAAUAUUUAUGAACAAUUUGUUGUUUUAGCUUUAGCCAUGACCUUGAUCAUCCUGCCACCUCAUACUAGUGUUUUUUAUUCACUUAAUUACAUGUAUAUUACUCUAUAAUAUUUGUAUUAUGAUUUAUUCUUUUUUUAUUUUGUUAAAAGGGAACUGGGAAUAUUGAAAUGAUAUAUCUCAAAUAUGCCUUCACGGCAAGAGAAACAGAGUGGGAUGGAAUGGCUUGCGAGAAGAUGACAAAUCUCAAAACACUUAUCAUUAAAGAUGGUAACUUUUCAAGGGGUCCUGGGUAUCUUCCAAGUAGUUUGAGAUAUUGGAAAUGGAUAAGUAGUCCUUUGAAGUCUCUAUCUUGUAUUUCGAGCAAGGCAAGUGAAAUAGGUUCAUUUUUCAAUUGUGUAUAUUGAUAAUUCACUAUUAGAUUAUAAUUUUCAUUUCAACUUAUUUAAUUUGUUUUUUUAUGAAGGAGUUCAACUAUAUGAAAGUUAUGACAUUGGACGGUUCUCAAUAUUUAACCCAUAUACCCGAUGUCUCAGGUCUUCCAAAUCUAGAAAAGUGCUCCUUUCGAGGAUGUGAUAGUUUAAUUAAAAUUCACAGUUCGAUUGGACAUCUAAAUAAACUUGAAAUCUUAGAUACAUUUGGUUGCAGCGAACUUGAGCAUUUCCCACCCUUACAGCUGCCCUCUCUUAAGAAAUUUGAAAUCACUGAUUGUGUGAGUCUCAAGAAUUUUCCAGAAUUAUUAUGUGAGAUGACAAAUAUAAAAGAUAUUGAGAUAUAUGAUACUUCCAUAGAAGAAUUGCCAUAUUCAUUUCAAAAUUUCAGUAAACUUCAACGGUUAACAAUAUCUGGAGGCAACCUACAGGGAAAGCUCAGGUUCCCAAAAUAUAAUGAUAAAAUGAAUUCAAUAGUGAUUUCAAAUGUGGAACAUCUUAACCUCGCAGGCAACAGCCUCUCAGAUGAAUGUCUCCCAAUACUUCUCAAGUGGUUUGUUAAUGUGACAUUUCUAGAUUUAUCCUGUAACUACAAUUUCACAAUUCUUCCCGAGUGCCUUGGUGAAUGUCACUGUCUUAUGCAUCUUAAUUUGAUGUUUUGCUUGGCUCUUGUGGAAAUUAGAGGGAUUCCACCAAAUCUUGAAAUUCUUUUUGCAGUCAUUUGUUAUUCAUUGAGUUCCUCAAGUAUAAGAAUGUUAAUGAGUCAGGUUUGUUGUUUUUUUAUUGCACUAGUAUUUGACAUAUAGUAUUUCAGUUCAUAGUGUAAUUAUUAUUCUUUUUAUAUAAAUUAACAGAAACUACAUGAGUCUGGAUGCACCCAUAUUCUAUUCCCAAACACAACGGAUAGGAUUCCUGAUUGGUUUGAGCACCAAAGCAGGGGAGACACAAUUUCUUUCUGGUUUGAUAAAGAACUCCCUUCUAUUAGCUUUACUUUUAUUCUUAUUAGUCAGGGGGACUACAUGUUACCAAUAGUCAAAUUCUUUGUGAAUGGCUAUGAAAAAGAGAUAAGUUGCGACGAAUUGACUAGGGAAUUCGGUGAGCUAGUGGAUGAUGACACUGUGUUGGAGAACCAUACAACUUUGUUGCAUAUAAAAUUGGAACAAGAUAAUGAACUCGGUGAAAGACUUUUGAAAAAUGAAUGGAUCCAUGUGGAGUUUAAGUUACAGGAUUAUUAUUGGCACGCUGAGAGAAGAUUAUUCAGAAAUACGCAAAUGGGAAUCCACGUGUGGAAGGAGAAAAGCAACAUGGAGGGGGGUGUGAGAUUCAUUGAUCCUUCAUUAUCACAAUUUAUGCAAAGAUUGGUGGAAGUGGGAGUUUCAGAGAAAGGGGAGGAGGAGGAGGGUUUUAGUGACACGGAGGAGGAUGUAAUAUUGAAGAAUCCUAAUAAUAGAAAGACUUGGGGUACAUUCCUUAGUCUAGGUGCAUCAAAAAGCAACACGGAUGGGGAUGAGAUUGAAAUAUUAAGCAGUGCACAAGAUGAAAGAAAGAUGUGGGGUACAUUCCUCGGUUUAGGUCCAUCAUAAAGUUAACCGUCUUCUUGUUAUUCUCUCAAUCUCAACAUUGCAGGUUUGUGCUUUGAUGUUUAUACUUUGUAUAAAUGUUGAUUAAUUUCUGUAUGUAGUCAGUUACAAAUUCAAUGUUUCUAGUUGGAGAAGUUUCUUAAACCAUGAGACAUGAUGUAAGUUUCUGUGUGUCUAACACCGAUACAUGUAAUACUAUUAAACUAUAUUAUUAUCUCAAAGGACUACCAAUGUCAACGAAUCAGUGUCGGUGUCUAGUUCGGUAUCCAUGACUGUGCUGAUGCUUCAAAAUGUCGAAAUGAAAGUUCUGAGUUUGCAAGUGCUUAAAGGUCAACAAGUAGAUUGUCUUACCGUAACUAUACACAUUUCGUAAACUUGUAUUGAUCUCAUUAAUUAUGAUUCAAAUUAGAACUUUUAUCUCAUAUCUCAUCUAACUAAUGGCACAUGUUUUCAGUGUAACCUAUAAAUGUAUGGAUAAUUUAAGUAGUACAUGCAUUUUUAACUUUUUUGAUGAAAUUUAACGUGACUGCAAUUGAAACAUGAUACACAAUUGAUCAAAAUUCCACUAGCUUAUAAGCCCGCACGAGUUUUACAAUGAGCUAAAUGGUUUGUCGAAUAAUCAAUAUCGAUCUUAUCUGUUGCAGCAUAACUCUAUUGUGUUACCCAUCACAUCUAUUUGAAUGCUUGUUACCUUCAGAGAGGAGAAGCCAUAGCUAUCAAAUUGAAUUUUUAUUUAGCUAUUACAUAAGGAUGAUUCAGAGGCAUCAGAAUCCAUCUCUCGCGGCCUUCAGCUACAACCCUUUAGUCCAGAAAUUUUAGAAGGUGUGGUGUAAUUGAACGGAUCCAAGAUUAAUGUUGUUACAAGUAUGAUUCUUAUAUUUUUAAAGAAUAAAUGCUUUUAAUCAUAAUCUGAAAAAGAAAUUGAUUAUUAUGCCAAAGUAAUAUAUUUCUACAUUUGUCAGGAAACCAUUUGCAACUGCCUUUCUUUUUGCAUUGUCAUACGAGAUGUCUAGAGGUGGUGGUUCACACCACAAAAUUCGUUCAAAAGGGAAUCAGGUAAUCAUAUGCUUUGCAGCUCAGUUGUACUUUGGUGUUUCCACAUUGGGUAUGAAUUGAUCAUUUCACAUAAUCCUUCUACAGCUCGACAUAUUUCAUUUCGUUCUAACCAUGCCUUCCGCUGGUGAGGACUUAUGUUUAGAUUAUUUCUGUAAUGAUCAUGAAAUGUCCCUUCUCCCCAAAAAUGCGGCAAAAACAGUCGCUAUUUUGUGUUCUGACAUAGAUAUUUGGUAGAACUAAAGAUGGAACGGGAAGACUUGUUCUAUACUAAAAAAUUUAUAAUGAAAUGUGUCUACUGUUUAUUUUCUAGCUAUGUUCUAAGUUGUUGUUGAUUUAUUUAUGUAAAUGUGCAUACCAGGUCGAAACGACUAUGAAGUGCUGAGUUUCUCAAACUAAACUCUCCUUACUGGGGAAGGAGCUUUCAGGUCUGCAAGAAAUUAUGUGGGAUAAAGAAAUAAAUCCGAGAACCGACAUUCAUGAGAUCCUUUUGCAAGAGUCGUGACUUUUGUUCUCCAAAAUCCAAAUCAGCGUUCUUGGUGUAGUACUCAAUGUACAACUCUGGUUUUGAUAUGGUGAGACCUGAUGUAAUUUUUUAUGGAGGAUGUUUGUGCUGCAUAUAUUGUUUGAAUUCGAUUAUUUCAUUACUGUACAUUUAGAUGCAUGCAUUAGAUUAUAGAAUGAACACCAUUUUAGAAGUACAUGUAAAUUAUGGAGGCCAACCUUGGAUAAUGUAUAUUUGAAUGUUUUAUCUAAAUGUGUUCUGAAAAAGCCAAUAUCAGGAACUUUGAUCUUGCUAACUUUUGUUGUUCAAUGAUUGUUAUUGCACCAAUAUUUCUUAUGCUAAACUGACAGAAACUAUAUUUCUUAUGCUAACUUACAUGAGGAUAGAUGCACCAAUAUUUGUUUUCCAACAGGAACAGAGGGGAUUCCAGAUUGGUUAAAGCACCAAAUCACGGGACACAAUUUUUUUCUGGUUUCGUAAAUAAAUCCCUUCUAUAACUAGUAUUAUUAUUCCCUUUCUGGAUCCGUCCGAUUCAAAUGAGAAAGUAGUCAAUUUGUCUGUCAAAGGCUAUGAAAAAGUAGUCUGGAUUAAAUGAUGUGAUCUGAAGCUGUCACUAGCAGAGUGCAGUAACAGUAAACUAUGGCCAACACUGCAGAGUGCAGUGUGGCAUGACUAGAAGAGAGAGGAGUCAAGGAAAAGUUAUUUCUGUUAUUCACUCGGAACCAUUAGUACUUUCAAAAUUCUACAGAUCUAAAAUAUAAGCCAGACCAUAUGCAUUAUACAGAAUAGAACUCUCAUUUUAUCGGAUGAAAUUUUUCGGUAUCCACAUAUGAUGCAUGUCCUGAGCAAACCUGCAUUCUUUUUUUUUUUUAAUGCAAAAUAAUCACUAACAUAUCCACUUGUUGAUUUGUUGCAAAUAGCUUAAAGUGGUUCUGUAAUAAAGU